UACAGAGGUCUCAAGCGUUGUUCGGAUUCAUUGGGCGUAAAGGGUGCGUAGGUGGCGCGCUAAGUCAGGUGUGAAAUUUCGGAGCUUAACUCCGAAACUGCAUUUGAUACUGGCGUGCUUGAGGACUGGAGAGGAGACUGGAAUUCAUGGUGUAGCAGUGAAAUGCGUGAGAGAUCAUGAGGAAGACCAGUGGCGAAGGCGGGUCUCUGGACAGUUCCUGACACUGAGGCACGAAGGCCCAGGGGAGCAAACGGG
rnacentral:rRNA from 1 species